rnacentral:rRNA from 1 species
UACAGAGGGUGCGAGCGUUGUCCGGAAUCACUGGGCGUAAAGGGCGCGUAGGCGGCCUGAUAAGUAGGGGGUGAAAUCCUGUGGCUUAACUGCAGGGCUGCCUCCUAGACUGUUAGGCUCGAGCACGGUAGAGGCAGAUGGAAUUCCCGGUGUAGCGGUGGAAUGCGUAGAGAUCGGGAAGAACAUCGGUGGCGAAGGCGGUCUGCUGGGCCGUUGCUGGCGCUGAGGCGCGACAGCGUGGGGAGCAAACAGG